rnacentral:lncRNA from 1 species
AUAAUAUUAACCAGUGAGUCCUCCACCUCAAGAAAGGCCUGCUUUGCAAGUUGUAAACCGUGAAGGUAUAUUAGUACUUUGUUCAAUAUUAUUGUUGCGGGGAGCAGGCAGAGUGUUACAUGGACAAGUGAGAGGUUACUAAAGUUUAAUUGCUAAUGGUCAUGCAGCUAACUCCAGAUUUUUGGGGCUGUUUGUUUGUUAUGUGGCCGACGAGGCCACACUAAAGUCGUGUGUCCCCAGCUUCAGGCGGCACACAAAACACCGGCCAAGCUGGUAAUGCAGUUUACAAACUGCACGUUUGAGAAGUAAAUAUUGCUUGAACUUCUCAAACGUGCAGAUUAGGCUACGUUGACAUACAGUCUAAUUGAAAUUUCCUCAUUCAAGAUCUUGCCCGUGGUUAACAUUUAAAAAAACAACGAGCUAUCAGUACAUCAAAGACGAGACAAUAUUGUUUUCAACUAGCUGCUCAGAUAUCACUG